UACGAAGGGGGCUAGCGUUGUUCGGAAUUACUGGGCGUAAAGCGUGCGCAGGCGGCUUCUCAAGUCAGGGGUGAAAGCCCAGAGCUCAACUCUGGAAUUGCCUUUGAGACUGAGUGGCUUGAGUACGAGAGAGGUGAGUGGAAUUCCCAGUGUAGAGGUGAAAUUCGUAGAUAUUGGGAAGAACACCAGUGGCGAAGGCGGCUCACUGGACCACUUCUGACGCUGAGACACGAAAGCGUGGGUAGCAAACAGG
rnacentral:rRNA from 1 species